UUGAGCUGUGAAGUGCUGUGCAUCGUGUGAUUGUAUGUCCCUUUUAUGCAGGUACCAGGAUUUCUAUGCAUUCGACCUCUCAGGAGCGACUCGAGUCCUUGAAUGGAUUGAUGACAAAGGAGUCUUUGUUGCUGGCUAUGAAAGCCUGAAAAAGAAUGAAAUUCUUCAUCUGAAAUUACCUCUCAGACUUUCUGUAAACGAAAACAAGGGCUUAUUCCCAGAAAGAGAUUUCAAAGUGCGCCAUGGAGGAUUUUCAGACAGGUCUAUCUUUGAUCUAAAGCACGUGCCACAUACCAGAUUGUUGGUUACCAGUGGCCUUCCAGGUUGUUACCUGCAGGUGUGGCAGGUUGCAGAGGACAGUGAUGUCAUUAAAGCUGUCAGCACCAUUACUGUGCACGAGAAAGAGGAGAGUCUCUGGCCUAGGGUGGCCGUCUUCUCCGCAGUGGCACCCAGAGUCCUCCAUGGGGCGAGGCUCCGCAGUCUGCAGGUCGUUGAUCUGGAGUCCCGGAAGACCACGUACACCUCA
rnacentral:sRNA from 1 species